rnacentral:ncRNA from 2 species
CUAUACUUCUGGUCGAAAAGUAAUAUCCGACGUCCUGUAAUCAGGGAAUCCGGUUAGAAUCCGGAGCGGCCCCGCCACUGUAAGUCCAUCCUCGAUGGGCGAGCCAGAUCGCUGAUACAGAGGCGAUGUG